rnacentral:rRNA from 1 species
UACGAAGGGGGCUAGCGUUGCUCGGAAUCACUGGGCGUAAAGCGCACGUAGGCGGAUCGUUAAGUCAGGGGUGAAAUCCUGGAGCUCAACUCCAGAACUGCCUUUGAUACUGGCGACCUUGAGUUCGGGAGAGGUGAGUGGAACUGCGAGUGUAGAGGUGAAAUUCGUAGAUAUUCGCAAGAACACCGGUGGCGAAGGCGGCCACCUGGACGGUAACUGACGCUGAGACGCGAAAGCGUGGGGAGCAAACAGG